ACAAUGGACCUUUUCAGGUCCCCCAAAAUAGCUUUCAAGUAUAAA
rfam:Sarcophilus harrisii ctg7180001623775, whole genome shotgun sequence.